CCUACGGGCGGCAGCAGUAGGGAAUCUUCCACAAUGGGCGAAAGCCUGAUGGAGCAACGCCGCGUGGGUGAAGAAGGUCUUCGGAUCGUAAAACCCUGUUGUUAGAGAAGAAAGUGCGUGAGAGUAACUGUUCACGUUUCGACGGUAUCUAACCAGAAAGCCACGGCUAACUACGUGCCAGCAGCCGCGGUAAUACGUAGGUUGCAAGCGUUAUCUGGAUUUAUUGGGCGUAAAGGGAACGCAGGCGGUCUUUUAAGUCUGAUGUGAAAGCCUUCGGCUUAAAAGGAGUAGUGCAUUGGAGACUGGGAGACGUGAGAGCAGAAGAGGAGAGUGGAACUCCAGGUGUAGCGGUGAAAUGCGUAGAUAUAUGGAAGAACACCAGUGGCGAAAGCGGCUCUCUGGGCUGUAACUGACGCUGAGGUUCGAAAGCGUGGGUAGCAAACAGGAUUAGAUACCCCAGUAGUC
rnacentral:rRNA from 1 species